rnacentral:rRNA from 1 species
CCUACGGGUGGCAGCAGUGAGGAAUAUUGGUCAAUGGACGAGAGUCUGAACCAGCCAAGUAGCGUGAAGGAUGACUGCCCUAUGGGUGGUAAACUUCUUUUAUAGAGGAAUAAAACGAGGCACGUGUCCAUUUUUGCAUGUACUUUAUGACUAAGGAUCGGCUAACUCCGUGCCAGCAGCCGCGGUAAUACGGAGGAUCCGAGCGUUAUCCGGAUUUAUUGGGUUUAAAGGGAGCGUAGAUGGGUUGUUAAGUCGGUUGUGAAAGUUUGCGGCUCAACCGUAAAAUUUCAAUUGAUACUGGCAGUCUUGAGUACAGUUGAGGUAGGCGGAAUUCGUGGUGUAGCGGUGAAAUGCUUAGAUAUCACGAAGAACCCCGAUUGCGAAGGCAGCUUACUAAACUGUGACUGACAUUGAUGCUCGAAAGUGUGGGUAUCAAACAGGAUUAGAUACCCGUGUAGUC